UGAGCAACCUACCGAAAUGUGGGGAUAGCCGGACCCAACGGCCGAGUAAUACCGCAUACGCUCUCGAUGAGGCAUUUCAUUGAGAGGAAACCUACGGGACAUUUCGAGGGCUCGCGGCCUAUCAGCUAGUUGGAGAGGUAACGGCUCACCAAGGCGUCGACGGGUAGCCGGCUGAGAGGGUGUCCGGCCACACUGGGACUGAGAUACGGCCCAGACCUCCGUACGGGGAGCAG
rnacentral:rRNA from 1 species